CCUACGGGAGGCAGCAGUGGGGAAUAUUGCACAAUGGGCGAAACCCUGAUGCAGCGACGCCGCGUGAAGGAAGAAGUAUUUCGGUAUGUAAACUUCUAUCAGCAGGGAAGAAAGUGACGGUACCUGACUCAGAAGCGCCUGCUCACUACGUGCCAGCAGCCGCGGUAUUACUUAGGGCGCACGCGGUAGCCGGAUUUAAUGGGUGUAAAGGGAGCGUAGGCGGCGGUGCAAGUCAGAAGGUAAAGCCCGGGGCUCAACUCCGGUACUGCUGUUGAAACUGUAUGGCUAGAGUGGAGGAGAGGCAAGUGGAAUUCCUAGUGUAGCGGUAAAAUGCGUAGAUAUGAGGAGGAACACCAGUGGCGAAGGCGGCUUGCUGGACUGUAAAUGACGCUGAGGCUCGAAAGCGUGGGGAGCAAACAGGAUUAGAGACCCGAGUAGUC
rnacentral:rRNA from 1 species